rnacentral:lncRNA from 1 species
UUUGGAUUGGACUUGUUCGAAACAUGCUAUCAUUCACUGUAUAACUUAAGUUCUCCAUAUCUUGCUUAGUCAUAUGAAUGUCACAGGUUUAUUAACCAUGGAAUUAUCUUUGUGAUUUUGAUUAAGUGUUUAACGUGAAAGCCAUGAGUUUGGAGUCUCUGAGACAACAGUUAGGAGCAAUAGAGGACUAGCAAAAGCUAAGUGUGGGGGAAUUUGAUAGGAGCAUUUUAAUGUGAUAUUUUAAUAGUUAAUUCCUCACAUUUUGCUUAGUUAAUUCCUUAACGAAUCGAUUUUUAACUCAAUUUCUAUUUUCUUAGGUACAUUGGAGUAAAUGAUGGUGAAAUGAGCAUUAUGUCCACACUUACCUACAAAUGGUGGAGAUAAAAUUGAAGUAAAUGAGUAGGAAAUCCAUCAUC